rnacentral:lncRNA from 1 species
UGUUACAAAUGUAUUUAUUAAAAAGCUGCCAAGAUAAUAAUAUUCAGCAAAGACACGCGUGAAUCCCAGUUUGUCCACCUGUUCUUCAAGGUAUUUUCAAGAGGUCAGCAGAAGGGGGCUGUGGGACCGCAUCACGUUCCAUUAAGAGAAUACAGAAAAUCUCACUUAAAUACCCAUGUGCGCUGAACCGGAUUUGUGAUACCACCUUCUCAUCUUCUUGAGAAACAGCAUUUAAGUGAAAUUUUUGCAUCCUCUACUAGAAAAAGACACAUAGAAACCCCUGGACACACUGAGUAAUCUUUAAACGAAGGCCAGGAAUC